UGGGGGAUAUUGCACAAUGGGGGAAACCCUGAUGCAGCGACGCCGCGUGUGGGAAGGCGGUCCUCUGGAUUGUAAACCACUGUCCCCAGGGACGAAGAUGACGGUACCUGGGGAGGAAGCUCCGGCUAACUACGUGCCAGCAGCCGCGGUAAUACGUAGGGAGCGAGCGUUGUCCGGAAUUACUGGGUGUAAAGGGAGCGUAGGCGGGGUUGCAAGUUGGGUGUCAAAUCUACCGGCUCAACUGGUAGUCGCACUCAAAACUGCAGCUCUUGAGUGGAGUAGAGGCAGGCGGAAUUCCUAGUGUAGCGGUGAAAUGCGUAGAUAUUAGGAGGAACACCAGUGGCGAAGGCGGCCUGCUGGGCUUUUACUGACGCUGAGGCUCGAAAGUGUGGGGAGCAAACAGGAUUAGAUACC
rnacentral:rRNA from 1 species